CAGGAGGGGCAAGCGUUAUUCGGAAUUAUUGGGCGUAAAGGGCGCGUAGGCGGCUUUGCAAGUGGCGGGUGAAAUCCCUCGGCUUAACCGAGGAACUGCCUGCCAGACUGUGAGGCUUGAGACCGGGAGAGGUGAGUGGAAUUCCCAGUGUAGCGGUGAAAUGCGUAGAUAUUGGGAGGAACACCAGUGGCGAAGGCGGCUCACUGGACCGGAACUGACGCUGAGGCGCGAAAGCGUGGGGAGCAAACAGGAUUAGAUACCCUGGUAGUCCACGCCGUAAACGAUGAGUGCUUGGUGUAGCGGGUAUCGACCCCUGCUGUGCCGACGUCAACACAUUAAGCACUCCGCCUGGGGAGUACGGUCGCAAGACUG
rnacentral:rRNA from 1 species